rnacentral:rRNA from 1 species
AUGGAUGUGAACAACAGGAUCAAGUACAUCUCAAAUAUGGGAGAAUUUGCCCAAGUGCUUAGAUUGGAAGGAUCUAACAAUCCUAGAUACAAGUCUAUCCAUAAGAGGCCAAAGUUGUCCACUAAAGAUAUGAAGUGUCUCUACAAGGAGAAAAUACCUGCAAAGAACUAUUGGAAAACCACAGGUCUUCUUCCCAGACUUUACACUUUGAACUACCUGCUAAGAUUGACUCUUGAUCCAAACGUAGAUGACACAACCAACAUUAGAGGGCACCCAUGGAAGCUAAUGGCCAACUUGAUAAGGUUACUCCAUUCAAUCUCAUGGAAUACAUAUGUGAGUGCAUAA